CAUACCACUUGCAAAAGUAGACAACCCAAGGUAUUGCAAAUGGGGUAUGUCCAGUCUUUUUUAGUAGCCAUUUAGUCACAAACACUGGCCAAAAUUGGCAUUCUUAUUAGUUUAUUGCAUUUUUCACACACAAACAAAUAUUAACGCUAACUUUGGCCAGUGUUUGUGACUAGGUGGCUACUAAAAAAGACUGGACAUACCCAAUUUGCAAUACCUUGGGUUGUUUACUAUUGCAAAUGGUAUG